rnacentral:rRNA from 1 species
UUAAGCGACUAAGCGUACACGGUGGAUGCCCUGGCAGUCAGAGGCGAUGAAGGACGUGCUAAUCUGCGAAAAGCGUCGGUAAGGUGAUAUGAACCGUUAUAACCGGCGAUGUCCGAAUGGGGAAACCCAGUGUGAUUCGUCACACUAUCGUUAACUGAAUACAUAGGUUAACGAGGCGAACCGGGGGAACUGAAACAUCUAAGUACCCCGAGGAAAAGAAAUCAACCGAGAUUCCCCCAGUAGCGGCGAGCGAACGGGGAGCAGCCCAGAGUCUGAAUCAGCUUGUGUGUUAGUGGAACGGUCUGGAAAGUCCGACGGUACAGGGUGAUAGUCCCGUACACCAAAAUGCACAGGUUGUGAACUCGAAGAGUAGGGCGGGACACGUGGUAUCCUGUCUGAAUAUGGGGGGACCAUCCUCCAAGGCUAAAUACUCCUGACUGACCGAUAGUGAACCAGUACCGUGAGGGAAAGGCGAAAAGAACCCCGGCGAGGGGAGUGAAAAAGAACCUGAAACCGUGUACGUACAAGCAGUGGGAGCACCUUCGGGUGUGACUGCGUACCUUUUGUAUAAUGGGUCAGCGACUUAUAUUCUGUAGCAAGGUUAACCGUAUAGGGGAGCCGCAGGGAAACCGAGUCUUAACUGGGCGUUAAGUUGCAGGGUAUAGACCCGAAACCCGGUGAUCUAGCCAUGGGCAGGUUGAAGGUUGGGUAACACUAACUGGAGGACCGAACCGACUAAUGUUGAAAAAUUAGCGGAUGACUUGUGGCUGGGGGUGAAAGGCCAAUCAAACCGGGAGAUAGCUGGUUCUCCCCGAAAGCUAUUUAGGUAGCGCCUCGUGAACUCAUCUUCGGGGGUAGAGCACUGUUUCGGCUAGGGGGUCAUCCCGACUUACCAACCCGAUGCAAACUACGAAUACCGAAGAAUGUUAUCACGGGAGACACACGGCGGGUGCUAACGUCCGUCGUGAAGAGGGAAACAACCCAGACCGCCAGCUAAGGUCCCAAAGUCAUGGUUAAGUGGGAAACGAUGUGGGAAGGCACAGACAGCCAGGAUGUUGGCUUAGAAGCAGCCAUCAUUUAAAGAAAGCGUAAUAGCUCACUGGUCGAGUCGGCCUGCGCGGAAGAUGUAACGGGGCUAAACCAUGCACCGAAGCUGCGGCAGCGACACUAUGUGUUGUUGGGUAGGGGAGCGUUCUGUAAGCCUGCGAAGGUGACCUGUGAGGGUUGCUGGAGGUAUCAGAAGUGCGAAUGCUGACAUAAGUAACGAUAAAGCGGGUGAAAAGCCCGCUCGCCGGAAGACCAAGGGUUCCUGUCCAACGUUAAUCGGGGCAGGGUGAGUCGACCCCUAAGGCGAGGCCGAAAGGCGUAGUCGAUGGGAAACAGGUUAAUAUUCCUGUACUUGGUGUUACUGCGAAGGGGGGACGGAGAAGGCUAUGUUAGCCGGGCGACGGUUGUCCCGGUUUAAGCAUGUAGGCUGGUUGUCCAGGCAAAUCCGGAUAAUCAAGGCUGAGGUGUGAUGACGAGGCACUACGGUGCUGAAGUAACAAAUGCCCUGCUUCCAGGAAAAGCCUCUAAGCAUCAGGUAACAUUAAAUCGUACCCCAAACCGACACAGGUGGUCAGGUAGAGAAUACCAAGGCGCUUGAGAGAACUCGGGUGAAGGAACUAGGCAAAAUGGUGCCGUAACUUCGGGAGAAGGCACGCUGGUGUGUAGGUGAAGUCCCUGCGGAUGGAGCUGAGACCAGUCGAAGAUACCAGCUGGCUGCAACUGUUUAUUAAAAACACAGCACUGUGCAAACACGAAAGUGGACGUAUACGGUGUGACGCCUGCCCGGUGCCGGAAGGUUAAUUGAUGGGGUUAUCCGUAAGGAGAAGCUCUUGAUCGAAGCCCCGGUAAACGGCGGCCGUAACUAUAACGGUCCUAAGGUAGCGAAAUUCCUUGUCGGGUAAGUUCCGACCUGCACGAAUGGCGUAAUGAUGGCCAGGCUGUCUCCACCCGAGACUCAGUGAAAUUGAACUCGCUGUGAAGAUGCAGUGUACCCGCGGCAAGACGGAAAGACCCCGUGAACCUUUACUAUAGCUUGACACUGAACAUUGAGCCUUGAUGUGUAGGAUAGGUGGGAGGCUUUGAAGCGUGGACGCCAGUCUGCGUGGAGCCAACCUUGAAAUACCACCCUUUAAUGUUUGAUGUUCUAACGUUGGCCCCUUACCGGGGUUGCGGACAGUGUCUGGUGGGUAGUUUGACUGGGGCGGUCUCCUCCUAAAGCGUAACGGAGGAGCACGAAGGUUAGCUAAUCCUGGUCGGACAUCAGGAGGUUAGUGCAAUGGCAUAAGCUAGCUUGACUGCGAGCGUGACGGCGCGAGCAGGUGCGAAAGCAGGUCAUAGUGAUCCGGUGGUUCUGAAUGGAAGGGCCAUCGCUCAACGGAUAAAAGGUACUCCGGGGAUAACAGGCUGAUACCGCCCAAGAGUUCAUAUCGACGGCGGUGUUUGGCACCUCGAUGUCGGCUCAUCACAUCCUGGGGCUGAAGUAGGUCCCAAGGGUAUGGCUGUUCGCCAUUUAAAGUGGUACGCGAGCUGGGUUUAGAACGUCGUGAGACAGUUCGGUCCCUAUCUGCCGUGGGCGCUGGAGAAUUGAGGGGGGCUGCUCCUAGUACGAGAGGACCGGAGUGGACGCAUCACUGGUGUUCGGGUUGUCAUGCCAAUGGCACUGCCCGGUAGCUAAAUGCGGAAGAGAUAAGUGCUGAAAGCAUCUAAGCACGAAACUUGCCCCGAGAUGAGUUCUCCCUGAGACUUUAAGUCUCCUGAAGGAACGUUAAAGACGAUGACGUUGAUAGGCCGGGUGUGUAAGCGCAGCGAUGCGUUGAGCUAACCGGUACUAAUGAACCGUGAGGCUUAACCUU